rnacentral:rRNA from 1 species
UACGUAGGCAGCAAGCGUUGUUCGGAAUUACUGGGCGUAAAGAGUGUGUAGGCGGUGCUCUAAGUUUGGUGUGAAAUCUCCCGGCUCAACUGGGAGGGUGCGCCGAAAACUGGAAUGCUUGAACGUGGGAGAGGAAAGCGGAAUUCCUGGUGUAGCGGUGAAAUGCGUAGAUAUCAGGAGGAACACCUGCGGUGUAGACGGCUUUCUGGACCAACACUGACACUGAGGAGCGAAAGCCAGGGGAGCAAACGGG